rnacentral:tRNA from 1 species
AAAAAGGAACUUCCCAUGCCGGGAAUCGAACCCGGGCCGCGUGGGUGAAAACCACGAAUCCUAACCACUAGACCACAUGGGACUAUGAGUG